rnacentral:rRNA from 1 species
UACGUGAGGGGCGAACGUUGUUCGGUGUCACUGGGCUUAAAGGGUGCGUAGGUGGUUGUGUAAGUCACGUGUGAAAUCCCGCGGCUUACCCGGGGAAUUGCAUGUUAUACUGCAUGACUUGAGGGCUAAAGGGGAAAAGGGAACUCCAGGUGUAGCGGUGAAAUGCGCAGAUAUCUGGGGGAAGGCCGGCGGCGAAGGCGCUUUUCUGGUUAGUACCUGACACUGAGGCACGAAAGCGUGGGGAGCAAACAGG